rnacentral:tRNA from 1 species
GCUCCUAUAGUUCAACUGGAUAGAACAAGGGCGUCCUAAGCCCAAGAUCUAGGUUCGAGUCCUAGUAGGAGUA